rnacentral:rRNA from 1 species
UACCAGCACCCCGAGUGGUCGGGACGAUUAUUGGGCCUAAAGCAUCCGUGGCCGGUUUUACAAGUCCUCCGUUAAAUCCAGCUGCUUAACAGAUGGGCUGCGGAGGAUACUAUAAGACUAGGAGGCAGGAGAGGCAAGCGGUACUCAGUGGGUAGGGGUAAAAUCCGUUGAUCCAUUGAGGACCACCAGUGGCGAAGGCGGCUUGCCAGAAUGCGCUCGACGGUGAGGGAUGAAAGCUGGGGGAGCAAACCGG